rnacentral:lncRNA from 1 species
UUCUAAGAAGGUUCACAAGGAUGUCCCUCUUAAUCCCCUCCUGUUCUUUAUGAAAGGUGAUCUUGCAAUCACCCAAUCAAACAUGGAUCAGGGAAUGAAAAAGACCUCUAGAAAAAAAGAGAAGAAAGCCAGCCCUUCUUCCAUUCAGCCACAAUGACAGACAAUAGUGGGGUACUGCUUUCUAACAAGAAUACUCCUAAGAUGCACCAGCUCUAGAGAUACUUGUCAAGGCUGCCAUGUUCACCUCGCAGUUUAGUAAGGGGAAGAAUGGAAAAUAGUUUAGAAUGUCUUAUGCUAUAAAAACAUCUUCGAUUAAUCAUGAUCUGUAACAACAGCACAUAAAGAUGAGAACAACAGACUCAGAAAGGUUAAGAAACUUAUCCGAGGUAACCAAACUGCAAGAAAAAAAGGCUUACAGAAGAGUUUGGAAAAAAGGCCUCAGUUUCAUCUGUUUUCAAUCUCUGUUUAAGGAGAUGCUAAGGAUGUGUUUCAUAAUAAGAAUCCAAGUGACAAGGAGUCAAGUCUGUAACAACUGUGUUUAGCUGUGAGAAAAAAUCCAGAAGAAAUGCCCAUUUCCCAUUCUUCAGGAAAUUGUAUGGGAGUACAGAAAACAGAUAAACAAUAUCAACUUAAGCAACGUAUGUUUGAGUAUAUAAUAAUAUUGGAAAAAUUAAGCUUGAAAUAAAAAGAAACAG